GGGGUGCCAAUAAUAAUUCCUUUUCCUACACAUAACCCAAAAGUCCGAGAGAUUAGCUUUUAUUUCAUCUCCUCUCCCUGAAACCAAUGGCGGCUCCAUUGCUGUUGUCGAGCGAUUCCACUGAACUGAAAAUUGAGAGAUGAUUGAGAAGAAUUAGGUGAUGGGUUCUUGUGGUUGUUCUUCAAGGGUGAGAAGAAUAAGAACUGGUGAUGUGAUGAUGAGGUUGAACUCGAUUUCAGAGAGGAAGAACAGAAAAUAUAGGGUUUGUGUUUGUUGUUGGUUUGUGAGGAGAUUGAUGACUAUUUGAGAGUUUGUUAAGGAAUAGAAGAUGGGUCUGAGACGAAUUGGGGUUUUGAGAAGUCAAGCAAGUUGAACUCGAUUUCAGAGAGGAAGAACAGAAAAUCUAGGGUUUGUGUUUGCUGUUGGUUUAUGAGGAGAUUGAUGACUAUUUGAGAGUUUGUUAAGGAAUAGAAGAUGGGUCUGAGACGAAUUGGGGUUUUGAGAAAUCAGGCAAGUUGAACUGAAAUAAUGAGUGGUUGAGAUGGUGAAUUUGGGUUUCUGAAUUGAGAAUUUGGUAGCAAAUUGGGUCGAUUGUGUGUUGAACAAGAUGCAGAAUCUGUGUGUGGCUGCUAUUUACGGUGCUAGAUGUAGCUGAAAUGGUGUUCUUGCUGGUUCCAAAGAUGAAGAAUGGUUGCAGUCUCACUGAAGCUGAGUUCUAAGGAUUUAUAUGGAGCUGAGUACAAGACAGAACGAGCAUUUGAAGUGAUUGCAGGUGCUGGUGAUGUUCUGAUGCUAAGAAACACACACAUAUCUGUAUGCGGAUGAGGCUCGAGUUAACAGUCAUGUGAGAGGCGGCUUGGAAUGAAUUGACCUAAGAUGGAGCUGUUGAUUGUGUUGGUGCUUGAAGGUGGUAAUAGAUGCGACAGUGGAGACUCAGCUGAGAAGUCACCAUGGUACGAGUGAACUGAGAUGGUGUUGUGUUGGUAGGAUAUGUACUUGUUGCAGACAACAAAAAGAGGUGCAAACUGGAAGCUAUGAUGGUGUUAUGGAGGUUGUGUGCGGAUGUCCGGCUGCAGAAGGCAUUAGAGUUGCAGCUGGUGGCUGAGUUCAGUGGUUCUGGUGGAUGCCUAGAUGUAUGUUAGGACAGGUUCAUUAUAGGUGAAGCUCCAAAUGGGAUUUGAUAUGUGAUGUUGUUGAGGCAGAGAUGAAGAAUAUCUGUUUUGCAGUGGGAGUGGCAAUGGAAUUAAAGGUCUUUGUGCUUAGUUGGGAUGAGUUGAAGCUGCUGAGAUAUGAAAAUUGCAGAAUGAGCCCGUGCAGCUGGAUUGCAGUGAGGUUCUGGUAUUAAUGAGCUGAGCAAGGAAGUUACAGUGGUAUAGAGGCGCAGAUGAUGGGGUUUGUGAACUAGUGUGCAAUGGAAUUGAUGUUGUUGUGCGGUGUUAAAUGGGAUAAGCUGAGAAAUGGCUUAGCGACAAAGAAAAGUGAACUGUUGGCUUGAGGGAUUGAGGUUAUGGUGAUUGUGGAACCGAAGCAGGUGGUUUAGUGAUGCUGCAGUCUGUAAAUUGAAGUUGCAGGUGCUUUUGUGUUGUUGAAGUUGAAGCUGAACUAUUGGUGAUGCUGUAAUGAAAUGGAGCUGAAGCAUUGGUGGUGAAUGGAGCUGGGACUUUGGAAGAGAAACCAGUUUUAGGAAGCAGUGGUGUUGAUGAUGUGAAGAUCGAAGGAUUGGGUUUGGUGUCAUGCAGUGGUUGUGCAAUGAAAGAUGAUUUGGCCUGGCAGGGUGAAAUUGAGAUGCGUAUGGUGCUGGUUGUUGCUGCUCAAGAGGGAGUUGCAGGCUUGAUUUUGAAAUGAAUGAAUGGGUAUGUUGUGAAUGUUGUCUAUGUAUCAUGGCAGUGAAGGACUUGAGAAUAGGCCGACAUUUGGCCGGGAGAACACGCCAGUGCAGACAGAACUCGGUCAGUUACCGAGUCAGGCGAGUUGACUCAGCUGAUCCAGUAGCUGACUCAGAUGGACUUGGGCUUGGAUUGUAUGGGAUAGACAGGUUUUGUCUUUGGCGAGCUUGCCAUGAUUUGUGCGUGAUAUGGCCUGGAUUUUGGAAUGGGUGGAGAAAGAAAAAGUCUAUAAAAGGACUCUCUUUAAUUCUCAGUAGGACAUCUUAUCUUUUACUUCUAUUUUUGUUCUAGGAUUUGUGAACAUGAUAGAUUUAUUUCUUUUUUGGAUGAACUCCAUGAACAUGAGUUAGAUUAUUAUUAUUGGUUAUGAAAUAAUUUGAUUUCACAUAA